GAUUGAACGCUGGCGGCAUGCCUUACACAUGCAAGUCGAACGGCAGCACGGGUGCUUGCACCUGGUGGCGAGUGGCGAACGGGUGAGUAAUACAUCGGAACAUGUCCUGUAGUGGGGGAUAGCCCGGCGAAAGCCGGAUUAAUACCGCAUACGAUCUACGGAUGAAAGCGGGGGACCUUCGGGCCUCGCGCUAUAGGGUUGGCCGAUGGCUGAUUAGCUAGUUGGUGGGGUAAAGGCCUACCAAGGCGACGAUCAGUAGCUGGUCUGAGAGGACGACCAGCCACACUGGGACUGAGACACGGCCCAGACUCCUACGGGAGGCAGCAGUGGGGAAUUUUGGACAAUGGGCGAAAGCCUGAUCCAGCAAUGCCGCGUGUGUGAAGAAGGCCUUCGGGUUGUAAAGCACUUUUGUCCGGAAAGAAAUCCUUGGCUCUAAUACAGUCGGGGGAUGACGGUACCGGAAGAAUAAGCACCGGCUAACUACGUGCCAGCAGCCGCGGUAAUACGUAGGGUGCGAGCGUUAAUCGGAAUUACUGGGCGUAAAGCGUGCGCAGGCGGUUUGCUAAGACCGAUGUGAAAUCCCCGGGCUCAACCUGGGAACUGCAUUGGUGACUGGCAGGCUAGAGUAUGGCAGAGGGGGGUAGAAUUCCACGUGUAGCAGUGAAAUGCGUAGAGAUGUGGAGGAAUACCGAUGGCGAAGGCAGCCCCCUGGGCCAAUACUGACGCUCAUGCACGAAAGCGUGGGGAGCAAACAGGGUUAGAUACCCUGGUAGUCCACGCCCUAAACGAUGUCAACUAGUUGUUGGGGAUUCAUUUCCUUAGUAACGUAGCUAACGCGUGAAGUUGACCGCCUGGGGAGUGCGGUCGCAAGAUUAAAACUCAAAGGAAUUGACGGGGACCCGCACAAGCGGUGGAUGAUGUGGAUUAAUUCGAUGCAACGCGAAAAACCUUACCUACCCUUGACAUGGUCGGAAUCCCGCUGAGAGGUGGGAGUGCUCGAAAGAGAACCGGCGCACAGGUGCUGCAUGGCUGUCGUCAGCUCGUGUCGUGAGAUGUUGGGUUAAGUCCCGCAACGAGCGCAACCCUUGUCCUUAGUUGCUACGCAAGAGCACUCUAAGGAGACUGCCGGUGACAAACCGGAGGAAGGUGGGGAUGACGUCAAGUCCUCAUGGCCCUUAUGGGUAGGGCUUCACACGUCAUACAAUGGUCGGAACAGAGGGUUGCCAACCCGCGAGGGGGAGCUAAUCCCAGAAAACCGAUCGUAGUCCGGAUUGCACUCUGCAACUCGAGUGCAUGAAGCUGGAAUCGCUAGUAAUCGCGGAUCAGCAUGCCGCGGUGAAUACGUUCCCGGGUCUUGUACACACCGC
rnacentral:rRNA from 1 species